AUCAUGAUAUCGAUUACUAAUACCCUCUUACAAGCAUUUCUGGCUGAGACUAACAUAUGUAUCCAGGCAUUCAGUAAUUGCCCCUGAUGAAGGCUGUAUAUUGUUAGCGGAAACGCGUUGGGGUUUUUACAAGAUCAUUUUAAAAAUACACGCUCCUCAUUAAACUUUUGGUAUUUUGCUAUCUA